rnacentral:rRNA from 1 species
UACGUAGGGGGCAAGCGUUGUCCGGAUUUAUUGGGCGUAAAGCGCUCGCAGGUGGUCCGUCGCGUCGUGCGUGAAAGACCCCGGCUCAACUGGGGGGCGUCGUGCGAUACGGGCGGACUGGAGGCCAGUAGGGGGAUGCGGAAUUCCGGGUGUAGUGGUGGAAUGCGUAGAGAUCCGGAGGAACACCAGCGGCGAAGGCGGCAUCCUGGACUGGUCCUGACACUCAGGAGCGAAAGCGUGGGGAGCGAUCCGGAUUAGAUA